CCACAACUCCAGUGUUGGUAAUUCUUUAUAGCUCUAGUGGUUUUACCAUAUACUGUGAUUCAUCUCAUUUUUGGUUUAAGGUGUGUGCUUAUGCAGCAAGGUAGAAUAGUAGCUUAUAGUUCCAGGCAGUUGAAGCCUUACAAGUAGAACUAUCGUACCCAUGACCUUAAGCUAGCAGCUAUUGUCUUUGCUUUAAAGAUCUGACGAGAUAU
rnacentral:lncRNA from 1 species